rnacentral:rRNA from 1 species
AUGGGAACCCUCAAUGUGAAAAUCCUGCUAUGUCUGCUACUCCUCAUGCCACUCCAUUUGGUUCCCGGUUCCGGGGGCGCAACAUGCAAAGAGCUCAGUAGGACAUAUACCAAUCCACGAUGUGAUAACGAUGAAUGUGUUGAGGCCUGCCGCAAGGAGGGCUUUACCCGAGGGGCGUGUGGAGGUAUUAUCAAAAGGAAAAAAAUUAUGAUACUUUGUUUUUGCAAAAAAGAGUGUUAA